rnacentral:rRNA from 1 species
GUGGNUAGNCGCACGAGCGCACCCCUGUCCUUAGUUGCCAUCAGGUAAUGCUGGGAACUCUAACGANACAGCCUGUGACAAGCAGGAGGAAGGUGGGGAUGACGUCAAGUCAUCAUGGCUCUUACGUCCUGGGCUGCAAACGUGCUACAAUGGCUGGUACAAAGGGUUGCGAUGCCGCGAGGUGAAGCCAAUCCCAAAAAACCAGUCUCAGUUCGGAUUGGAGUCUGCAACUCGACUCCAUGAAGGUGGAAUUGCUAGUAAUCGCGGAUCAGCAUGCCGCGGUGAAUACGUUCCCGGGUCUUGUACACACCGCCCGUCAAGCUAGGAAAGACGGAGAUACCUGAAGUCGUGGGCCUAACCCGCAAGGGAGGGUAGCGCCGAAGGUAGAGUUGUCGAUUCGAGCUAAGUCGUAACAAGGUAGCCGUACCGGAAGGUGCGGCUGGAUCACCUCCUUU